ACAGGUGGAGAAACAAGUCGGGAAACAGAUUAAGGCCGGCGUCUGAUCCGCUGCCUCGGUUUGUCAGAACUGUGUGAAAACUUAUUUACCGAAGAAGCCUGGAUGCUAAAACAAGCGUUGAAGCAGCUUUUUUGUCGAACACGAGUGAGGCUGGAGGCUGAACACACCUGCAGUGCAAAGGUUGACUUGUUCAGCUGCUGCAGCCUGGACAGAAACACCAACAUCACCUUACAGACCAACAGGUGUCCCCACUUCGUCCACAACAUUGUUCAGGCUCGCCAAGAUGUCGUCCACGAUUAGAGACUUUGUCCAUGACUCGCAAAGACCUGCACAAGAAUCGGUGGUGACGGGGGUCCCCGAUUUGAAGGCAUCGCCUUCGAUCAGAUAGACAUUGUCGAUGAUCACAGAGACCUUGUCCAUAAUCUCAGAGACAUUGACCACGAUCACAAAGACAUUGUCCAUGAUCGCAGAGACUUUGUCCAUAAUCUCAGAGACAUUGUCCGCGAUCACAGAGACAUUGUCCACGAUCACAGAGAUGUCGCCCACGAUCACAGAGAGACUUCGUACGAUGAUGAAGUUCUUUGAGACCAGGACAGAGGCCUCCAGGUGUCACCACUUUGUCCACGACAUCAUCCACGAUCGCUGAGACAUGGUCCAUGAUUGGAGAGACAUUGUUGAGGAUGAGGGAGACAUCGUCCACGAUCAGAGAUGUUGUCCAUGAUCGCAGAGACCUUGUCAAAGACGAGAGAGGCGUUGUCCAUGAUCAGAGACAUUGUCCCAUGCUUCGUAGAGACCUUGCGAUAGAAUCGGCGGAGACGGGGGUCACCGAUUUGACGGCACUGCCCGCGAUCAUGGAGACAUUUGUCGAUGGUCAGAGAGACAGCGUCUAUGAUCUCAGAGACAUCGUCCACGAUCACAAAGACAUUGUCCAUGAUCGCAGAGACUUUGUCCAUAAUCUCAGAGACAUUGUCCGCGAUCACAGAGACAUUGUCCACGAUCACAGAGAUGUCGCCCACGAUCACAGAGAGACUUCGUACGAUGAUGAAGUUCUUUGAGACGAGGACAGAGGCCUCCAGGUAAUUCACAGCGUUACAUCAACUGUCCAACACAGAGCACUGACAUUCAAUUGUCUAUGGUCAGUAUUCAGUAUAUCAGUAUUUCAUUUUCUGAAAAAGCCCUGUAAUGUAUUUUAAAUGUUGUGGUUCAAUUGUAAAGUUGAAUAUUUAUCUGUGUUUUCAUGGUUAAACUGUUGAUGAGGAAUAGGUAGUAAUGUAUUGAUCAUUUUCCUUUGUAUGUUUCUCUUU